rnacentral:rRNA from 2 species
CUCGGCAACGGAUAUCUCGGCUCUCGCAUCGAUGAAGAACGUAGCGAAAUGCGAUACUUGGUGUGAAUUGCAGAAUCCCGUGAACCAUCGAGUCUUUGAACGCAAGUUGCGCCCGAAGCCAUUAGGCUGAGGGCACGUCUGCCUGGGCGCCACGC